rnacentral:lncRNA from 1 species
AGAGUGCUUAAACAUUUGGUGACAAGUUCAAGCCUUCUUUGAAAAUUAAGGCCAUUUAUGUUGAGAAUCACAAGAAUAACUUGGUCAUCAAUUGAAAGACAUGUCUCAAUUAGGUCAAAUAGUGUCUGCGUGAUCCUAUCAAGAGGAACAGAAAGAAAAUCAACUCCACAAAAGCAUGAGUCAUUCAAAAUGAGGGAUGUACAACAAAUGUGGAGUUGUAUGUUUGAAAAGUAUAGAAAA